rnacentral:rRNA from 1 species
GAUGAACGCUGGCGGCGUGCCUAAUACAUGCGAGUCGAGCGAACAGACGAGGAGCUUGCUCCUCUGACGUUAGCGGCGGACGGGUGAGUAACACGUGGAUAACCUACCUAUAAGACUGGGAUAACUUCGGGAAACCGGAGCUAAUACCGGAUAAUAUAUUGAACCGCAUGGUUCAAUAGUGAAAGACGGUUUUGCUGUCACUUAUAGAUGGAUCCGCGCCGCAUUAGCUAGUUGGUAAGGUAACGGCUUACCAAGGCGACGAUGCGUAGCCGACCUGAGAGGGUGAUCGGCCACACUGGAACUGAGACACGGUCCAGACUCCUACGGGAGGCAGCAGUAGGGAAUCUUCCGCAAUGGGCGAAAGCCUGACGGGGCAACGCCGCGUGAGUGAUGAAGGUCUUCGGAUCGUAAAACUCUGUUAUUAGGGAAGAACAAAUGUGUAAGUAACUAUGCACGUCUUGACGGUACCUAAUCAGAAAGCCACGGCUAACUACGUG